rnacentral:rRNA from 1 species
CAGCCGCGGUAAUACGGAGGGUGCAAGCGUUAAUCGGAAUUACUGGGCGUAAAGCGCACGCAGGCGGUUUGUUAAGUCAGAUGUGAAAUCCCCGGGCUCAACCUGGGAACUGCAUCUGAUACUGGCAAGCUUGAGUCUCGUAGAGGGGGGUAGAAUUCUAGGUGUAGCGGUGAAAUGCGUAGAGAUCUGGAGGAAUACCGGUGGCGAAGGCGGCCCCCUGGACGAAGACUGACGCUCAGGUGCGAAAGCGUGGGGAGCAAACAGGAUUAGAUACCCUGGUAGUCCACGCCGUAAACGAUGUCGACUUGGAGGUUGUGCCCUUGAGGCGUGGCUUCCGGAGCUAACGCGUUAAGUCGACCGCCUGGGGAGUACGGCCGCAAGGUUAAAACUCAAAUGAAUUGACGGGGGCCCGCACAAGCGGUGGAGCAUGUGGUUUAAUUCGAUGCAACGCGAAGAACCUUACCUGGUCUUGACAUCCACGGAAGUUUUCAGAGAUGAGAAUGUGCCUUCGGGAACCGUGAGACAGGUGCUGCAUGGCUGUCGUCAGCUCGUGUUGUGAAAUGUUGGGUUAAGUCCCGCAACGAGCGCAACCCUUAUCCUUUGUUGCCAGCGGUCCGGCCGGGAACUCAAAGGAGACUGCCAGUGAUAAACUGGAGGAAGGUGGGGACGACGUCAAGUCAUCAUGGCCCUUACGACCAGGGCUACACACGUGCUACAAUGGCGCAUACAAAGAGAAGCGACCUCGCGAGAGCAAGCGGACCUCAUAAAGUGCGUCGUAGUCCGGAUUGGAGUCUGCAACUCGACUCCAUGAAGUCGGAAUCGCUAGUAAUCGUGGAUCAGAAUGCCACGGUGAAUACGUUCCCGGGCCUUGUACACACCGCCCGUCACACCAUGGGAGUGGGUUGCAAAAGAAGUAGGUAGCUUAACCUUCGGGAGGGCGCUUACCACUUUGUGAUUCAUGACUGGGGUGAAGUCGUAACAAGGUAACCGUAGGGGAACCUGCGGUUGGAUCACCUCCUUACCUUAAAGAAGC